CGCACCUUGCGCCUUUUGGUAUUCCGAAAGGCAUGCCUGUUUGAGUGUCAUGAAAUCUCAACCCCAUCUCGUUUUCACGAACCUGAUGUGGGCUUGGACAUGGGCGUCUGCCGGUCACACGGCUCGCCUCAAAAGACUUAGUGGGAUCGCUCGCAUCCGUGGCAGACGUAAUAAGUUUCGUCUCGUCCCUUGCCUGUGCCAAAGCCCGCUCACAACCUGCCAUCGCGCAACCUUUUUGACUCUGACCUCAAAUCAGGUAGGACUACCCGCUGAACUUAA
rnacentral:misc_RNA from 1 species